rnacentral:lncRNA from 12 species
CCACGAUUACCGUGACAACCACCAUCACCAUCACCACCAUCACUACCACUGCCAUCAUCAUCAUUGCCACUGCCACCACCCUAAUCAUCAUCACCAUGACCACCCCCAUCCCCAUCAUUAUCACCACCACCAUCACCAUCACCAUCAUCACCGCCGCCACCAUGACAGUCAUCACCAUCACCAUCAUCAUUGAUCCCACCUCCACAUUGUCAUAACCAUCGCCAUCAUAGCCAUCGUCACAUCACUGCCGUUGCCAUCCUCAUCACCGCCAUCACCACUAUCAUCCUAUUAUGUUAUUAUUGUUGUUUUUAAUACUGGGAGCUAUGCAAGCCCCAGGUCUUCUAGAAACAGCUGCGUACAGUGACACAUUGCAUGUUAGGCCUUAGUGUCCUUUCCUGCAUGGUGAGGACGAAGAGGGCUAGAGGGGAACUGGACUUGCACAGCCUCAUGGAGCUUCAGUGUGUCCCAAUAAACGCUGUCAUUAUUAAUUCCACCACCAUUGUCAUCACAACCAUCACCGCCAUCAUCAACACGGUGCGGGACCCGACACCAUGGCACGUCUCACCUACUGUGUGACUUUGGAAUAAUUUCUCUUAUUUGUGCCUCUAUUUCUGUAGAGACAAACAAAGCCAGGAGGAAAACAGAUAAGCUCUGUAAAUCCAUUGUCCGUCCAUUUGCUGCUUAAGCUCCUCUACGGAGCCUUCCUGGGAGAGUCACCAGGGCUGCAGGGGUGGGGAAGCUCCGUAGCAGGGCCCUGUGCCCUCCCUCCCUUAGCCCUCCGUCGUGCUGGGCCCACCCUCUGCUGGCUGCCAUCUCACCCCUGUCCCAUUAAUCUGUUAUUAGAUAUACAUCUUUGGUUCCUAUCAGGAAGCUCGUGAAUUGGGCCAUUAUGGGGAAGAAAAGUGUUUUUCAAUGAUCACCGGGAGAGGAGACACCGCCAGCGCCGAGUGGAGGAGCAAUUUAAGCCCAGGAAGGCCCUGCCAUCCGUCUCCGUUUGCUGGAGUCCUUUGAAGAGGCUUCCUGCGGAUGGCACGGCCGCCGCCCCCAGUACCAUCUGCCGUUGGCGGGCGGCACUUACCCCAUGGAGCCCGCGCCGGCCCGGGAGCCGCCAGGGUCCCUCCUUGGCUCGGAUUUUCCUCCUUUCCACGGCGCGCUUCUCCCGCAGGGCGCCCUGUUACACUAGUGGUGCUUCCCACACGGUGAGUGGAACCUCACAUGCUUGCGGGAGGGACGCUUCCACCGUGGCGCAUGCACGGAUGCAGAGGGCAUCCCCGCGACCCCCCGGCACCCCCCAGCACCCCGCCAGCCAGCGCUGCCCUGCAAGGGGACCACCUGCAGCCCGAGCCCGGACGCUCAUCCCUCUGGUCUGGCUGCUUCAUGGAGUCGUGUCCCCGAGGGGCACCUGGGCUCCUGCAGACGAGGCAAAGCGAGCUCGUGAGAAUUGCGCUAAGAAGGGGAUAGAGUGAGGAGCCCACACCCUGGCGCUUGCCCGGCGCUGCGUGGUUCUCCUCUCCGCCCUUCCCUGCUCAUUCUGCCCUGGGCCCCUGCACCCCCUGUCACCGCCUGGCCCGGCCGUCCUGG